ACAGCUGACAGGCUAGUCUUAAUUGGCCUCUAGCCGGGAGAAUGGUGGGGGCCGGAAAAUACCACUUCCUGGAAACACUGGACUAUACAAGGCCGUCUGAAAGACAUCUCAACAUCAUUUGACACUCAUUAUGGCAUCCCUGAAAAAUGUUACUGUCGUCCUCCUAGUCUGCAUUAUUGCACUUUCUCAGAUGGCCGGUUCUGACACCUCUAUAAUAAUAAGUUCGAAUAGACUAGUACCAACAGGACCGAAUCCACUUCACAAUUAGAAAGAGAAUGAAGGACACCUUCUGCGUAAGACCUUUGACAAUUUGUGUAAUUUUAAAAUGUUGAACUGCAAUGGGACAACCAAUAAAUACAUUUACAACUCUUAUUGUUCACUGUAUUUUUUAAGAACAUGAUUGUUUUUACGUUUUACUGUCGACUCCGCGUGUCACUGUUAUUUACCAGAGGUUAAGGAAUUCUUAUUAAGGACGUGUUUUCCAUUUGUUAAUAGUAACAAAUGUUUUUCAAGUGAUUAAUAAACAUCAAGAAAAUACA